rnacentral:rRNA from 1 species
CAGCGUUGAAAAGCUGGGGGAUGAGCUGUGGGUAGGGGUGAAAGGCCAAUCAAACCUGGAGAUAGCUGGUUCUCCCCGAAAUAGCUUUAGGGCUAGCCUCUUGUUAAAGAGUCGUGGAGGUAGAGCACUGGAUCGGUACGGGGGCUUACCAGCUUACUUAGCCGAACCAAACUCCGAAUGCCAUUGACUUGUUCCAAGGGAGUCAGCGUGCGAGGGAUAAACUCCGUACGCGAGAGGGAAACAACCCAGAUCGCCAGCUAAGGUCCCUAAGUGUAUGCUAAGUGAUUUAAAGGAUGUGAGAUUGCGCAGACAGCUAGGAUGUUGGCUUAGAAACAGCCACCAUUUAAAGAGUACGUAACAGUUCACUAGUCAAGUGAUCUUGCGCCGACAAUGUACCGGGGCUAAGCAUACCACCGAAGCUGCGGACUCAGUAAUUCGUUCGCGAAUUACUGAUUGGUAGGGGAGCGUUCCAUAGUAGGUCGAAGGUGAACCGUAAGGUUUGCUGGACGAGAUGGAAGUGAUUAUGUCGGCAUGAGUAGCGAUAAAGCGGGUGAGAAUCCCGCUCACCGAAAAUCUAAGGUUUCCUAGGCUAGGCUCGUCCUCCUGGGGUUAGUCGGGACCUAAGCUGAGGCCGAAAGGCGUAGGCGAUGGCAAACAGGCUAAAUAUUCCUGUACCACUUGUAGCGCGUUCGAGCUAUGGGGUGACGCAGAAGUGAAAGGUCAGCCAGCGAUUGGAAAUGCUGGUCCAAGUCUGUAGGGGGAUUACCCAGGCAAAUCCGGGUAGUCAACUCCGAGAGGCGAUGGGGAGCCGUUUAUCGGCAUAAACUGACCCUAAUCAUGCUGCCAAGAAAAACCUCUAUGUGAGUUCUACGGGUGCCCGUACCGCAAACCGACACAGGUAGACGAGGAGAGUAUCCAAAGGUGUGCGAGAGAACCCUCGUUAAGGAAUUCGGCAAAAUGAUCCCGUAACUUCGGAAGAAGGGAUGCCCUCAGUAGGUGAUACCCCUUGCGGGUGGAGCCCAAAGGGGCCGCAGAGAAUCGGGCUGGGCGACUGUUUACCAAAAACACAGGUCUCUGCUAAGCCGCAAGGCGACGUAUAGGGACUGACACGUGCCCGGUGCGGGUAAGUUAAGAGGAGGGGUUAGCCUUCGGGCGAAGCUCUGAAUCGAAGCUCCCGUAAACGGCGGCCGUAACUAUAACGGUCCUAAGGUAGCGAAAUUCCUCGUCGGCUAAAAACCGACCUGCACGAAUCGUGUAACGACUUGGCCGCUGUCUCAACGAGGGACUCGGUGAAAUUGUAGUUCCAGUGAAGAUGCUGGAUACCCGCGGCAGGACAGAAAGACCCCGUGAACCUUUACUAUAGCUUGGCAUUGGACUUUGGCAUUGUAUGUGUAGGAUAGGUGGGAGGCUUUGAAACCAGGGCGCCAGUCUUGGUGGAGCCGACCUUGAAAUACCACCCUUACCUUGUUAGAGCUCUAACUUAGGUCCCUUAUCGGGAUUGAGGACAUUGCCAGGUGGGUAGUUUGACUGGGGCGGUCGCCUCCUAAAAGGUAACGGAGGCGCCCAAUGGUUCCCUCAGCGCGGUCGGUAAUCGCGCGUAGAGUGUAAAGGCAUACAGGGAGCUUGACUGCGAGACCUACAAGUCGAGCAGGUGCGAAAGCAGGGCUUAGUGAUCCGACGGUAGCGCGUGGAAGCGCCGAAGCUCAACGGAUAAAAGGUACUCCGGGGAUAACAGGCUUAUCGCGCCCAAGCGUCCAUAGCGACGGCGCGGUUUGGCACCUCGAUGUCGGCUCAACGCAUCCUGGGGCUGGAGAAGGUCCCAAGGGUAUGGCUGUUCGUCAUUUAAAGCGUUACGCGAGCUGGGUUCAGAACGUCGUGAGACAGUUCGGUCCCUAUCCGCCGUGGGCGUAGGAAAUUUGAGGAGAGCUGUCCCUAGUACGAGAGGACCGGGAUGGACGGACCUCUGGUCUACCAGUUGUUCCGCCAGGAGCAUUGCUGGGUAGCUACGUUCGGACGGGAUAAACGCUGAAAGCAUCUAAGCGUCAAGCCCCCUCCAAGACUAGAUUUCCCGUGGGGUUAACCCACCUGAAGGCCCCUCGAAGACUACGAGGUUGAUAGGUCGCAGGUCGAAGCACGGUAACGUGUGAAGCCGAGCGAUACUAAUUGGCCGUGCGGCUUAACCAU